rnacentral:lncRNA from 1 species
UUUUUUAAAUAAAGAAAUUUAUUCUAUUAGCAUUGCUUCGUCCCAAGCUGGAAAUUCGCUGAAGCUAUUGAUGGUAGAUGUUUCCAUGUCAUAGACCCACCAACCAUCAACUUUGCCCUGAGUGAAAUACACACAAUUUUUCCUGCAUCCCACUUCGCUUGCUGACACAGACAUACAGCAAUUACCACCCACAAACAACGUUCGAUCGCUGCCUAGGUUUUCCUUCUUAACCCAUGUGAGCUUAGCAGUAUCAAGUUGGUAAACUUCCAGACAAUCCACUACCUUAAUACACUUUCUGGAGAUGAGGAACACUAGUAGAAUCUUCCCUUCUGAUUCCAUCAAGCAUUCUCUAAAAUGCAUCGACAGGACAGAAGGAACAGCUCUUUUCUUGCCCAGUGCUGUGAUGCUGAGAUCAGAAUCAAUGUCUUCUAUAACUGCUAGAGUUCCCUGCAAACUCAAAGCAUAGAACUUUUCCUUACACCAGAUGCCAUUUGUAAAUUGUAGCAGGCUGGAACUGGAACAAUGGGGAUCAACAAUAUUGCUAUCUUUUUUUAUCCAUUCUCUUCCUUCCGAUAUUCUGUAGAAGGCGAAAGCUGGAUUACUGAUGCCUGUCAAUACCAUCACUAUACAUUUAUUUUUUCUGUUACCCGUCCUCGGCGGCGACGACAAAGCAGCAGAUAAAAAUGGAACCUUAGGAUCCCAUUCUGGGAUAUGCCAGUAACUCCACCAUGAUAAUGUAAUAGGAUCGCACAAUGAAUAAUCUGAAUCUCCUUUUGCCACAAGUAAUCCAUGGGAGCAUCCAAGAAUAUGGUAAGCUGGAAGUACACACCUUUCUUUUCUCCAGUAACAGAAGAAACCCAUUUUAAAUGGGAUGUUGAAAGUGUGAGUUUCCUUAUGUUGACUUCUAUAAUCGCUGGAGAGUUCAAGCCAUGGCGGUCUUGAAUUUGGUCUGCAUUUGUUUGGCUCUACUCUCCAUGAUUUGGUGACGCCCUUUGAACAAAUUUGAUACUUUAGAGAGGACUUUCUUGCUAUGAGGUAGAUGAGUUGGUGUGGAAGAUCCGGCCAUAACUUAGAAUUGUUGGGUUGUUCGUCAGUUGAUUUGAAUUGUCUUCUGCUCUUCUUCUCAUUCUUCUUGUUUUCUUUUCCCCCCAUUGUCAAUCCAGGCAAAAAUUAAUUUCCUGAUAUUAAUUCAGGUUACAGAAUCAACAAAUGAAGAGAGAAAGGGUGAGGUUUCAUCUGUUGAAAGGGGAAAAUAAGGAUCAGCAUACGUGAUCUCCAAGCUCAAUACUGUAUCAGAUGUACAAAAACUCUGCUGAGUGAUGAGUUGAUAUCUUGGCCAACAAGUUCCUCCCAACAACCUUAACUGCUAAGAAAAAAAAACGAGUUAAUAAUUUUAUAUGUCAAACAGGUGGCGAAAAUGGUGGUAGCCAUAGGCAUUAAGGAAGAAAAGUUGGGCACUCCACCGCCAAAAAUUAUUCCGUGUACAACCAUUUAUUACGUUAGAAUAUAUGAAAUAUAUUAUUAGGAGUAACUAGCGGACACAACUAUUUGAUUUAAAUUGAAAAAUUAAUCGAAUUAAAUUAAUUUAAAAUUUUAAUUUAAUUUUUUUAAUUUUUAAUUUUAAAAUUUUUAAUUUUAAAAUUUUUAAUUAUUUUAAUUUAAUUUAAUUUUAAUAAAAAAAUUAAAAAAAUCAAAUCGGAUCGAUUAGUGAUAAUAAUAUAUUAUUUUUAAUAAUAUAAAAAUAUUAUAUUAUAUUAAAAUUAAAAUAUUUUAAUUAAAUUUUAAAAUAUUAAAAAUAAAAUAUAAAAAACAAAAAAUUUAUUAAAAAUUUAAACCGAUGAAAUUGAAUCAAAUCGAAUUAAAUUAAAUCGGUUUAAUUUAAUUUAAUUUUUAAUCAAAAUCAAUUCGAUUUAAUUUUCAUAAAUAUUAAAAUUUUAAUUUUUAAUUUAUUUAAUUUGCUUUGAUUUUAAAUCGAAUGUACGGAAUACUUAGAAUAAUAAUAAUAAUACAACCAUUAUAACUAUCAACGGUAUCUUAAUUAAUCCUAACAGAGACGAAGACCCAAAACAAAGAUGUUGAUAAUGAUUAUUGCGUAUGCUAAUUAUUUUAAGAAAAAAGCGAUUUUUUAUUUUGAUAAAUUAAUUAUAUCAAAAACUAAAUUAAAUUUCAAACUUUCACCAUGUGUUAUUAUUAAUUAAUUAAUUAAAAUUAUACUCACUCAAUCUCAUAAUUUUUAUAAAUUUUAUUUUUCUACAUAUAUUAUAAAACUUCUUUAAUAAAUUAUUAAAAAUUACUAAAUAAUUUGAACAUUUUGAAUUAAAUAGAAAAUAGAUUUAAAGUUAUUUAUAUUAGUUUUAACAUAAAUUAUUAAAAAGUAUUAAAUAAUUUAGAGUAUUUUAAGUCAAAUAAAAAAUAAAUCUAAAAGUUAUUUCUAUCAGUUUAAAUUGAGUUUAAAAUAUAAUUUUUUUAUUAAUUUUUUAAUUAUACUUAUCUUUAAAAUAUUAAAUUUUAUUGAAUAUUAAAAAUUAUUUUGAGAGAUUUCUUAAAAAUAAAUAAGAUUAUGAUACUAAAUUUAUAUGUUAAUAUAAUAUUAAAAAAAAUUAUAAAAGGGAAAGAUUAAUAUUUUAUUAUACUGAUUUUUUUUUAAAAAAAAAAAAGAAAUGUCUUGUUGUGUAUGUAUGGGUUUGUUUUUUUGAAACAUAUGUAUAUCACCUUUUGUUACUUAUUUAAUAAUUUAUAAAAUAAUUGCUUUUACAAUAAAUAAUUUCUUUUACAUAAUAUUAAAUAAUAAAAUAUAUAAAUUAUUUUCUGCAAAAUAAGGUAAUUUUUUUCUUAGAAAAAAUCAUAGACACUAUGAAACAGAUAUUUCACCAAUAGAUUGCAAACCAAAAAGCAAAAAUAAUAAUAAUAAUUCUUAUACCAUUGGGUUCAAUUUUCGUUCUCAUUUUUUAUACUUUUAUUAGAGGCAAUUUCAACUAUUAAUUUCAAUUCUAAUUGGUCAAAUAAAAAUUAUAAAAUUUGAAAUAAAUUUACAACCGACACGUAAUUAUUGAUUUGUGAUAGAAUCUAUAUGAAACUAACCAUAUGAUGAUAUUAUAAAAUUUUUCAUAUUACGUUUUUGAUCUACAAAUAUGUAUUUUAUAACAUUAUCAUUGUAUGUAAAAGCCAAUUUUCUCUUUUUGAAAUUUGGUUCGAAAUCGGCGGAAUACGGUAAAUCGAAAUUGUAUAUAAUAGUCCGUACGAAAUUAUUAAAUAUUUUGAAUUAAUCAUUUGGAAUGAGAUGAAAAUAAAAGUUAUUUAGAUCAAUUUGGAACGGACUAUUGGUUAGAAAUCAACUUUAUAAUUUUUUACAUAGAAAUUUAUUCCAGUAGCAUUAGUUCAUCCCAAUCUGAAAUUUGUUUGAGCUAUCGAUGGUAGCAGUUUCCAUGUCAUAGAUCCACCAACCAUCAACUUUGCCCUGAGUGAAAUACACACAAUUUCUCCUGCAUCCCACUUCGCUUGCUGACACAGACAUACAGCAAUUACCACCCACAAACAACGUUCGAUCGCUGCCUAGGUUUUCCUUCUUAACCCAUGUGAGCUUAGCAGUAUCAAGUUGGUAAACUUCCACACAAUCCACUACCUUAAUGCUCUUUCUGGAGAUGAGGAACACUAGUAGAAUCUUGCCUUCUGAUUCCAUCAAGCAUUCUCUAAAAUGCAUAGACGAGACAGAAGGAACAGCUCUUUUCUUGCCCAAAGCUGUGAUUCUGAGAUCAGAAUCAAUGUCUUCUAUAACUGUUAGAGUUCCCUGCAAACUCAAAGCAUAGAAUUUUUCCUUAUACCAGAUGCCAUUUGUAAAUUGUAGCAGGCUGGAACUGGAACAAUGGGGAUCAACGAUAUUGCUAUCUUUUUUUAUCCAUUCUCCUCUUGAUUCCCAUAUUCUGUAGAAGGCGAAAGCUGGAUUUGCAAUGCCUGUCAAUACCAUAAUUGUACAUUUAUCUUUCCUAUUAUCUUUCCACCUCCGCGGCGGCGAGGAGGACAAAGCAGCGCAUAUUAAUGGAACCUUAGCAUCCCAUAAUGGAGUUUGCCAAUAUGAGGACCAAAUCGGAUCGUGGAUUGAAGCUCCUUUUGACACUAGGACACCAUGGGAACAGCCAAGAACGUGGAACUGGUAAGCUGGAUGGGCAGCCGCAGGCCAGCUUCGUCUCCUGACCCGGUAGAAACCCCUUCUAAACGGUAUGUUGAGAGUGUGAGGUUCUUUAUGGUUAUGGUGAUUUUCAUAAUCGCUGGAGAGUUCAAGCCAUGGUGGCCUGGGAUUUGGUCUGCAUUUGCUUGGUUCUUCUCUCCAUGAUUUGGUCACGCCCUCUGAAGAAAUUUGAUGGAUCAGUGAAAACUUUCUUGCUAAGAGGUCGAUGAGAUGGUGAGGGAGAUCCGGCCAUAACUUUGCAUUGUGGGGUUCUCUGUCUGUUGAUUUGAGUUGUCUUUCGCUCUGCUUAGUCUUCUUGUUUUCUUUGCCCUCCAUUGUUGAAGGCAAGAAAUUUUCC